rnacentral:rRNA from 1 species
AGAGUUUGAUCCUGGCUCAGAUUGAACGCUGGCGGAAUGCUUUACACAUGCAAGUCGAACGGUAGAGGGGGCAACCCCUUGAGAGUGGCGAACGGGUGAGUAAUGUAUCGGAACGUGCCCAGUCGUGGGGGAUAACGUAGUGAAAAUUACGCUAAUACCGCAUACGAUCUAUGGAUGAAAGCGGGGGAUCGCAAGACCUCGCGCGAUUGGAGCGGCCGAUAUCAGAUUAGGUAGUUGGUGGGGUAAAGGCUCACCAAGCCAACGAUCUGUAGCUGGUCUGAGAGGACGACCAGCCACACUGGAACUGAGACACGGUCCAGACUCCUACGGGAGGCAGCAGUGGGGAAUUUUGGACAAUGGACGCAAGUCUGAUCCAGCCAUUCCGCGUGCAGGACGAAGGCCUUCGGGUUGUAAACUGCUUUUGUACGGAACGAAAAAGCUCUUAUUAAUACUAGGAGUCCAUGACGGUACCGUAAGAAUAAGCACCGGCUAACUACGUGCCAGCAGCCGCGGUAAUACGUAGGGUGCAAGCGUUAAUCGGAAUUACUGGGCGUAAAGCGUGCGCAGGCGGUUAUAUAAGACAGAUGUGAAAUCCCCGAGCUUAACUUGGGAACUGCAUUUGUGACUGUAUAGCUAGAGUACGGCAGAGGGGGAUGGAAUUCCGCGUGUAGCAGUGAAAUGCGUAGAUAUGCGGAGGAACACCGAUGGCGAAGGCAAUCCCCUGGGCCUGUACUGACGCUCAUGCACGAAAGCGUGGGGAGCAAACAGGAUUAGAUACCCUGGUAGUCCACGCCCUAAACGAUGUCAACUGGUUGUUGGGUCUUCACUGACUCAGUAACGAAGCUAACGCGUGAAGUUGACCGCCUGGGAGUACGGCCGCAAGGUUGAA